rnacentral:tRNA from 1 species
GCUCACCUAGCUCAGUUGGUAGAGCACUUCCUUGGUAAGGAAGAGGUCGCCGGUUCAAAUCCGGUGGUGAGCUCCA